UUCCCCCACACUUAAUAACUGAGGGUUGGGCUGCAUUAAUUUUAUUAUGUCUCCUCAAAAUGCAGGAAGCCAGUUGCUGGGGGUGGGCUUGCAAAAGCACUUCAAUCAAGAGCCUGCAAAAGGAGCUGUAUCCACGGCAGUGUGGAGCUCCCACGUGAGGAGUGAGCAUGUUCUCUAAGGACAGUGCACACAAGUGAAACAUCUCUCUUAUUUGGCCAUAGGGCUGUCCACAGCACUGAACAGAAGUACAUAAUUUUCAUGUGAGUGGCUGUGGAGUCCAUCUUGUUGUUCUCAUCGUUUCAUCUGCUCUUUUUACAACCCUGGAUUUGGGAAUGCUGACACUACUAAGGUUCACACCAAGGCCUCCUGUUUGAAAAAUGUAUGUGUGCUCCUGAACCUAAUGUAUAUGCAUAUUCAGUGUGACUGCAUAUGGAAAUGGAGCAUCCAUGCCAAGAGUUUUCCAGCCAAGAGGCUUUUUGCAUGUGUGAGUCUGGAGGGUUGUGUGCUUUUGGGGUAAUUGUGCGUGUAAAUCCAGCGGGCAGUCACACGCUCAGCUAUAACCUGUACAGCUGCAUUACUACCUUUUUUAAAACAUCUAGCAAAAGCUGGUGAGAAAAAUGAUACCUUUUCAGACACCUGGUCCUUGAAAUAAUAAUAGAAAACCCCUAAAAACUGAUUAUGGAUCGUGAAAUGAUGUGGUUCAGCUUUCAAAACCUGCCCCUGUGUCCCCCUCGUAAACAGGUCACUCUUACAUUUAGGCAGUAUUAGAUUUGCAGGUUUAAUUACAAGCAAAUUAUUUUUUUAAGUGGUAAAAAUAAAUUGAU